UCAUGAAAGCCGCUUGUACCCGAAGUCCAUGUUGCUAACCGCAAGGAAGCAGUGGCCGAAGGUAUGGCUGGUGAUUGGGAUG
rnacentral:rRNA from 1 species